CAUAUAUAUAUAUAUAUAUUAAGUCGGACCUGCUCAAUGAUUAUAAAAUUAAAUAGCCGCAGUAUUUUGACUGUGCAAAGGUAGCAUAAUCAUUAGUUUUUUAAUUGAAAGCUUGUAUGAAAGGUUUGAUGAAAAAAAAACUGUCUCUAUUUAAAUUUUUUAGAAAUUUAUUAUUAAGUAAAAAAGCUUAAAUAUUUAUAGAAGACGAGAAGACCCUAUAGAGUUUUAUAAUUAUUUAUAUAAAUAAAUUAAAGGAUAAAAAUAUAUUAUAUUUAUUAUUAUUUAGUUGGGGUGAUUGAAAAAUUUAAUAAACUUUUUUUAAAGAAUAUUACUUAUUGGUAAAAAUUUGAUCCUUUUUAAGAUUAAAAGAUAAAAUUACCUUAGGGAUAACAGCGUAAUUUUUUAUAAAGUUCUUAUUAAAAAAAAAGAUUGCGACCUCGAUGUUGGAUUAAAAUAAAUUAUUGGUGUAGAAGCUAAUAAAUUAAGUCUGUUCGACUUUUAAAAUUUUACAUGAUCUGAGUUUAAACCGGUGUAAG
rnacentral:rRNA from 1 species